CAGCUGCGAAGACUGCUUCAUCAUCCUUCACACGGAAAACACGGGUUGCUCUAGAAUCCGCAUAGCUCACCAGAGUACUCGUGGCGUGGAUCGGAAAAGCAUGACGACUGCGAAGCAAUAUGUCGG